AUGUGGAUCGCCGUCUGCCUCCUUCUCCUCAGGAAGUGGUUUACAUUUACUGGCAGGCGGACUGAGUGUUUUCUGACCCGCGGGUCUUACUCUGCCCCCAUCGUUCUCCUGCUAGGUCCCGCGGCUGGGAACUCCGUGACCCAGAUUCCAGCGUCUGCGUCAGCCAGGGAAGGGCGGCCCGUGAAUCUGUACUGUCAAUACAGCACCACGUACCCGUACUACGCCCUGGGAUGGUACCAGCAGCUGCCCGGGCAGCAGCCUCUCUUCCUACUGCGCAGAAAUGAGAGGGGCAAUGAAUACAAGCCCGGUUCGGUGGCCCCUCGGUUCUCCUCCCAGCUGGACACCGGCGCGAAGUCUCUCACGUUGUCCAUAGACGGGGCGCAGCGGGCUGACUCGGCGCUGUAUUUCUGCGCUCUCUGGGAUCCACCGCGCUACAGAGCGCCCCGGGCUCCCGACACAAACUGCCGGAGGGGGUGGCAGGUGUCUGAAAUGCGUUAA